ACAUUGCAGCCCGACCUGAGUGGAGCUCUUUUUGCCGAAGCGAAGCGGAGGCAAAAAAGCGGGAACGGAGGGCGGAAAAAGCU
rnacentral:misc_RNA from 1 species